GUGCCAGCAGCCGCGGUAAUACGUAGGGACCAAGCGUUGUUCGGAUUUACUGGGCGUAAAGGGCGCGUAGGCGGCGCGGUAAGUCACUUGUGAAAUCUCUGAGCUUAACUCAGAACGGGCAAGUGAUACUGCAGUGCUAGAGUGUGGAAGGGGCAAUCGGAAUUCUUGGUGUAGCGGUGAAAUGCGUAGAUAUCAAGAGGAACACCUGAGGUGAAGACGGGUUGCUGGGNCAACACUGACGCUGAGGCGCGAAAGCCAGGGGAGCAAACG
rnacentral:rRNA from 1 species